rnacentral:rRNA from 1 species
GACAGAGGUCCCGAGCGUUAGGCGGAAUCACUGGGCUUAAAGGGCGCGUAGGCGGCCAUUCAAGUCAGGGGUGAAAGCCUGUGGCUCAACCACAGAAUUGCCUUUGAUACUGUUUGGCUAGAGACCGGAAGAGGUAAGUGGAACUGCGAGUGUAGAGGUGAAAUUCGUAGAUAUUCGCAAGAACACCAGUGGCGAAGGCGGCUUACUGGUCCGGUUCUGACGCUGAGGCGCGAAAGCGUGGGGAGCAAACAGG